rnacentral:rRNA from 1 species
UACGUAGGGUGCAAGCGUUAAUCGGAAUUACUGGGCGUAAAGCGUGCGCAGGCGGUUGUGCAAGACAGAUGUGAAAUCCCCGGGCUCAACCUGGGAACUGCAUUUGUGACUGCACGGCUGGAGUGCGGCAGAGGGGGAUGGAAUUCCGCGUGUAGCAGUGAAAUGCGUAGAUAUGCGGAGGAACACCGGUGGCGAAGGCGGCAUCCUGGACCGGUAUUGACGCUGAGGCGCGAAAGCUAGGGGAGCAAACGGG